AUUGAACGCUGGCGGCAUGCCUUACACAUGCAAGUCGAACGGUAACGGGCCUUCGGGUGCCGACGAGUGGCGAACGGGUGAGUAAUACAUCGGAACGUGCCCGAUCGUGGGGGAUAACGAGGCGAAAGCUUUGCUAAUACCGCAUACGAUCUACGGAUGAAAGCAGGGGACCGCAAGGCCUUGCGCGGACGGAGCGGCCGAUGGCAGAUUAGGUAGUUGGUGGGAUAAAAGCUUACCAAGCCGACGAUCUGUAGCUGGUCUGAGAGGAUGAUCAGCCACACUGGGACUGAGACACGGCCCAGACUCCGACGGGAGGCAGCAGUGGGGAAUUUUGGACAAUGGGCGCAAGCCUGAUCCAGCCAUGCCGCGUGCAGGAUGAAGGCCUUCGGGUUGUAAACUGCUUUUGUACGGAACGAAAAGCCUUCUUUUAAUACAGGAGGGUCAUGACGGUACCGUAAGAAUAAGCACCGGCUAACUACGUG
rnacentral:rRNA from 1 species